AGAGAGCAGAGGCCUGGCAGGCCAGGGGAGGCGGCUGGAUUUUAUUCUAAGGGUCGUGGUUAAGCGGGGCCUCAGCCUCCAGCCUGGUCCAGGUGCUAACUGGGUGGGCGUUCUUUGCUUAAUGAGGGAAGCGUCUGUCAGGGACCCCAGAACAAGCGAUUCAAGUCACCCACGUUAUGAAGAGCCCUCCAAAGGAUGACUCAUCCCAAGUAGCAGACAAGAGAGCUGGCGCUGCAUCAUGCUCUCGGGAGGCGAAACCAUCCCUUAUAGACACGGAGGGACCCUGUCCUGGAGGAGAGGGAGGGAAGAAUCAAGUUGAGGACAGGACACGGAGAACUGCGGGCCAGAGGGAGGCCAGGCCCCUCGGCAGAAGCUGCCCUGACGUGGGCUCCGCUGGCUGCUCAGACGCAGGGCUCAGAAGGAACGGAGGAACGAACGAAGGAAUGCGGGCUCUUUGGCAAACCCCUUCCUUUUUGAGCAGGGCUAUUUUAAGACUUCCGAUAGGUCCUGUUUUGGCAUAUCCACACCGCGUCACAUCAAACAUAUUAAAUGGCACCCACGUGCCUCAUUAAAUAGAAUUUGUGUACAACCAUACAAGAGCUGAGUUGAGCCACACUUGACAGUUGACUAAUGCUACGUCCUGUGGACAUUUAAUUAAACGUCCGUUCGUGUUGA